rnacentral:misc_RNA from 1 species
AAGGGCUUCCUCCCAAAGGUCCAUGAGAAAGGGGUCUUAGAAAUACCGACUCUGAAUUCUGCAGGGAGGCAAAUGGGGAAGGCAUAGUGUGCCCGAUAUUUGAUUUAGCAUGCCUUCUCUUUCGUUUAUGUACAAUCCACACAGCCAUCACGAGAAAACUGAGUACUACAAACCCAACCACGAUGCCUACUGCCACGGCAGCUCCAGUGUUUAAAUUUUCUGCGACUGUGGAUGUAUUUUUG